rnacentral:rRNA from 1 species
UGGGGAAUAUUGGUCAAUGGGCGCAAGCCUGAUCAAGCCAUGCCGCGUGUGUGAAGAAGGCCUUUUGGUUGUAAAGCACUUUAAGCGAGGAGGAGGCUACUUGGAUUAAUACGCUAGUAAAGCGGACGUUACUCGCAGAAUAAGCACCGGCUAACUCUGUGCCAGCAGCCGCGGUACUACAGAGGGUGCGGGCGUUAAUCGGAUUUACUGGGCGUAAAGCGUGCGUAGGCGGCUUCUUAAGUCGGUUGUGAAAUCCCGGAGCUUAACUUAGGAAUUGCAUUUGAUACUGGGAAGCUAGAGUAUGGGAGAGGAUGGUAGAAUUCCAGGUGUAGCGGUGAAAUGCGUAGAGAUCUGGAGGAAUACCGGUGGCGAAGGCAGCCAUCUGGCCUAAUACUGACGCUGAGGUACGAAAGCGUGGGGAGCAAACAGG